rnacentral:misc_RNA from 1 species
GAUGAAGAACGCAGCGAAAUGCGAUAAGUAAUGUGAAUUGCAGAAUUCAGUGAAUCAUCGAAUCUUUGAACGCACAUUGCGCCUGCCAGUAUUCUGGCAGGCAUGCCUGUCCGAGCGUCAUUUCAACCCUCAAGCCCCCGGGCUUGGUGUUGGGGACCGGCCACCGCCGCUACUCGCGGCAGGCCGCCCCCGAAAUACAGUGGCGGUCACGCUGCGGCAUCUCCUGCGUAGUAACACACCUCGCAUCGGAUACGCUACGCGACCACGCCGUAAAACAACCCACUUCUGAAAUGUUGACCUCGGAUCAGGUAGGGAUACCCGCUGAACUUAAGCAUAUCAAUAAGCGGAGGA